rnacentral:rRNA from 1 species
GACGAACGCUGGCGGCGUGCUUAACACAUGCAAGUCGAACGGAAAGGCCCUGCUUUUGUGGGGUGCUCGAGUGGCGAACGGGUGAGUAACACGUGAGUAACCUGCCCUUGACUUUGGGAUAACUUCAGGAAACUGGGGCUAAUACCGGAUAGGAGCUCCUGCUGCAUGGUGGGGGUUGGAAAGUUUCGGCGGUUGUGGAUGGACUCGCGGCUUAUCAGCUUGUUGGUGGGGUAGUGGCUUACCAAGGCGUUGACGGGUAGCCGGCCUGAGAGGGUGACCGGCCACAUUGGGCCUGAGAUACGGCCCAGACGCCUACGGGAGGCAGCAGUGGGGAAUAUUGCACAAUGGGCGGAAGCCUGAUGCAGCAACGCCGCGUGCGGGAUGACGGCCUUCGGGUUGUAAACCGCUUUCGCCUGUGACGAAGCGUGAGUGACGGUAAUGGGUAAAGAAGCACCGGCUAACUACGUG